CACGUAGGGCACAAGCGUUGUCCGGAAUUAUUGGGCGUAAAGAGCUCGUAGGCGGUCUGUUACGUCUGCUGUGAAAACCCGGGGCUUAACCCCUGGGCUUGCAGUGGAUACGGGCAGACUAGAGGCAGGUAGGGGAGAAUGGAAUUCCCGGUGUAGCGGUGAAAUGCGUAGAGAUGUGGAGGAACACCGAUGGCGAAGGCAGCCUCCUGGGCCAGCACCGACGCUCAUGCACGAAAGCGUGGGGAGCAAACAGG
rnacentral:rRNA from 1 species